GCCUAUGAGCAUACCACCCUGAGAAAACCCAAUCUUGUCUGAUCUCAGAAACUAAUCAGGGCUGGGCCUGGAUAGUACCUGGAUGGGAAACUGCCUGGGAAUACCAGGCACUUUAGACU
ensembl:rRNA 5S_rRNA 5S ribosomal RNA